CACGGUUUUGUUCUUCAAAAGACGUUUUAUGUGGGAAGGAUGUUCCCCUUCUAUAUAAGCUCCUCUUUAUUUUUACCACAUACUAAUGUAUGGAUGGAAGGAGCUAACCCACAAUUGCAAGGAUGGUCCCUUCCUAUAUAAGCUCCUUAUUUUUAUCGCAUACUGAUGUAUGGAUGGAAGGAGCUAGCCCACAGUUGCAAGGACGGUCCCCU
rnacentral:lncRNA from 1 species